AACGAACGCUGGCGGCAUGCCUAACACAUGCAAGUCGAACGAGACCUUCGGGUUUAGUGGCGCACGGGUGCGUAACGCGUGGGAACCUGCCCUUAGGUUCGGAAUAACUCCCCGAAAGGGGUGCUAAUACCGGAUAUUGUCUUCGGACCAAAGAUUUAUCGCCUUUGGAUGGGCCCGCGUUGUAUUAGCUAGUUGGUAGGGUAAAAGCCUUCCACGGCGACGAUCCAUAGCUGGUCUGAGAGGAAGAUCAGCGACACUGGGACUGAGACACGGUCCAGAAUCCUACGGGAGGGAGGAGUGGGGAAUAUUGGACAAUGGGCGAAAGGCUGAUCCAGCAAUGACGGGUGAGUGAUGAAGGCCUUAGGGUUGUAAAGCUAGUUUACCCGGGAUGAUAAUGACAGUACCGGGAGAAUAAGCUCCGGCUAACUCCGUG
rnacentral:rRNA from 1 species